UGGAUCCAUCCCUGCCAAUGGUC
rnacentral:siRNA from 1 species